CAGACACCAUGAUGAUUGCAUAGUUCAGCAGAUGAACAGUGAUGAACACAGCUUGUCUUUCGCUCCUAUCUGAUGUGUCUG